GACGUAGGGGGCAAGCGUUGUUCGGAAUUAUUGGGCGUAAAGCGCUCGUAGGCGGGACAGGAAGUUCGUGUUGAAAGACCUCGGCUCAACUGAGGGACCGGCUCGAAUACUCUUGUUCUUGAGGCAAUCAGAGGGUGAUGGAAUUCCCGGUGUAGCGGUGAAAUGCGCAGAUAUCGGGAGGAACACCGGUGGCGAAGGCGGUUCUCUGGGCCUUACCUGACGCUGAGGAGCGAAAGCGUGGGGAGCGAACAGG
rnacentral:rRNA from 1 species